AUGAGUACCGAGUUGGGCAAUGUUUACAGCUGCAAGUCUAUCCAACAGACAAUGGAGGAGCAGGGUAUACUGGAAACGUUUCUGAGGGACCACCCAAAGGCUGAUCCAAUUGCCAAGUAUCGUUUCAAUAAUGAUGCUGUUGCUUAUGAGCCCAUCACCAACUACAUGUGAUCUUUCUACUUUGGGGAGAUCAGCAUUGGGACACCACCCCAAAAUUUCCUAGUCCUCUUUGACACGGGCUCCUCCAAUCUCUGGGUGCCCUCCAUCUACUGCCAGAGCCAAACCUGCUCCAAUCACAACAGGUUCAACCCCAGCCUGUCCUCCACCUUCAGAAACAAUGGACAAACCUAUACACUGUCCUAUGGGAGUGGCAACCUGAGUGUGUUCCUGGGCUAUGACACUGUGACUGUUCAGAACAUCAUCGUCAAUAACCAGGAGUUUGGCCUCAGUGAGAAUGAGCUCAGUGACCCGUUCUACUAUUCAGAUUUUGACGGGAUCCUGGGAAUGGCCUACCGAAGCAUGGCAGUGGGGAAUUCCCCGACAGUGAUGCAGGGGAUGCUGCAGCAGGGCCAGAUCACUCAGCCUGACUUCAGCUUCUACUUCACCCACCAACCAACCCGCCAGUAUGGUGGAGAGCUCAUCCUUGGAGGUGUGGACCCCCAACUUUAUUCUGGUCAGAUCAUCUGAACCCCUGUCACCCGGGAACUGUACUGGCAGAUUGGCAUCGAGGAAUUUGCCAUCGGUAACCAGGCCACUGGCUUGUGCUCUGAGGGUUGCCAGGCCAUUGUGGUUACCGGGACCUUCCUGCUGGCAGUUCCCCAGCAGUACAUGGGCUCCUUCCUGCAGGCAACAGGAGCCCAGCAGGCUCAGAAUGGUGAUUUUGUGGUCCACUGCAGCUACAUACAGAGCAUGCCCACCAUCACCUUCACCAUCGGCGGGGCCCAGUUUCCUCUGCCUCCCUCUGCCUAUGUCUUCAAUAACAAUGGCUACUGCGGGCUCGGAAUUGAGGCCACCUAACUGCCCCUCCCGCAGUGGGCAGCCCCUCUGGAUUCUAGGGGAUGUCUUCCUCAAGGAAUAUUACUCUGUCUAUGACAUGGCCAACAAUAGGUUGGGUUUUGCCUUCUCUGCCUAG